rnacentral:rRNA from 1 species
UCCAGACUCCUACGGGAGGCAGCAGUGGGGAAUAUUGCACAAUGGGGGAAACCCUGAUGCAGCGACGCCGCGUGAGUGAAGAAGUAUUUCGGUAUGUAAAGCUCUAUCAGCAGGGAAGAAAAUGACGGUACCUGAUUAAGAAGCCCCGGCUAACUACGUGCCAGCAGCCGCGGUCAUACGUAGGGGGCAAGCGUUAUCCGGAUUUACUGGGUGUAAAGGGAGCGUAGACGGAGGAGCAAGUCUGAUGUGAAAAGCCGGGGCCCAACCCCGGAACUGCAUUGGAAACUGUUUAUCUAGAGUGUCGGAGAUGCAAGUGGAAUUCCUAGUGUAGCGGUGAAAUGCGUAGAUAUUAGGAGGAACACCAGUGGCGGAGGCGGCUUGCGGGACGAUGACUGACGUUGAGGCUCGAAAGCGUGGGGAGCAAACAGGAUUAGAUACCCUGGUA